GACGAACGCUGGCGGCGUGCCUAAUACAUGCAGGUCGAACGAGAGCGACCGGUGCUUGCACUGGUCAAUCUAGUGGCGAACGGGUGAGUAACACGUGGGUAACCUGCCCAUCAGAGGGGGAUAACAUCCGGAAACGGAUGCUAAAACCGCAUAGGUCUUCGAGCCGCAUGGCUUGAAGAGGAAAAGAGGCGCAAGCUUCUGCUGAUGGAUGGACCCGCGGUGCAUUAGCUAGUUGGUGAGGUAACGGCUCACCAAGGCCGUGAUGCAUAGCCGACCUGAGAGGGUGAUCGGCCACAUUGGGACUGAGACACGGCCCAAACUCCUACGGGAGGCAGCAGUAGGGAAUCUUCCGCAAUGGACGCAAGUCUGACGGAGCAACGCCGCGUGAGUGAAGAAGAUUUUCGGAUCGUAAAACUCUGUUGUUAGAGAAGAACAAGUGCUAGAGUAACUGUUAGCGCCUUGACGGUAUCUAACCAGAAAGCCACGGCUAACUACGUGCCAGCAGCCGCGGUAAUACGUAGGUGGCAAGCGUUGUCCGGAUUUAUUGGGCGUAAAGCGAGCGCAGGCGGUUCCUUAAGUCUGAUGUGAAAGCCCCCGGCUCAACCGGGGAGGGUCAUUGGAAACUGGGGAACUUGAGUGCAGAAGAGGAGAGUGGAAUUCCAUGUGUAGCGGUGAAAUGCGUAGAUAUAUGGAGGAACACCAGUGGCGAAGGCGACUCUCUGGUCUGUAACUGACGCUGAGGCUCGAAAGCGUGGGUAGCAAACAGG
rnacentral:rRNA from 1 species